UACGAAGGGGGCUAGCGUUGCUUGGAAUGACUGGGCGUAAAGGGCGCGUAGGCGGAUGGCACAGUCAGAUGUGAAAUUCCCGGGCUUAACCUGGGGGCUGCAUUUGAUACGUGUUGUCUUGAGUUCGGAAGAGGGUCGUGGAAUUCCCAGUGUAGAGGUGAAAUUCGUAGAUAUUGGGAAGAACACCGGUGGCGAAGGCGGCGACCUGGUCCGACACUGACGCUGAGGCGCGAAAGCGUGGGGAGCAAACAGG
rnacentral:rRNA from 1 species